rnacentral:rRNA from 1 species
UACGUAGGGUGCGAGCGUUAAUCGGAAUUACUGGGCGUAAAGCGUGCGCAGGCGGUUUGUUGUGUCUGAUGUGAAAGCCCCGGGCUUAACCUGGGAAUGGCCGUUGAAACUGGCGAACUGGAGUGUGGCAGAGGGGGGUGGAAUUCCGCGUGUAGCAGUGAAAUGCGUAGAGAUGCGGAGGAACACCGAUGGCGAAGGCAGCCCCCUGGGCUAACACUGACGCUCAGGCACGAAAGCGUGGGGAGCAAACAGG